ACUCCUACGGGAGGCAGCAGUGGGGAAUAUUGGACAAUGGACCAAAAGUCUGAUCCAGCAAUUCUGUGUGCACGAUGAAGGUCUUCGGAUUGUAAAGUGCUUUCAGUUGGGAAGAAGCAAGUGACGGUACCAACAGAAGAAGCGACGGCUAAAUACGUGCCAGCAGCCGCGGUAAUACA
rnacentral:rRNA from 1 species